AUCCGAUACCCCAGCUGACGAUACCUACUUGCGUCCAGCGUCCAUCGUUGACCAUCAGAGGUCCUCCGCUAUCACCCUACAAUUCAGAAAAUCUCUUCCUGCGCACAAGAAGCUAUCAACGAUGCCGCCAGGUGCCGCUGCGCCGUAUUUCACCUUGCACUCGCUGUUGGGCCAGAUGGGUAUCGAAACUUCCUGAAGAAUUGCUGGUUGUGGUCCACCUGGAUAGAGUUCUCAUAAAACAGAUCCCCAGCCAAUCACCGUGGCAACCUUUCCAGAAUACAGUUGUGAACCACUCGGCAGACAGAUGGGACGUAUUUGGUCUGUGAAAGGAACUGGUUCGUUGAGAGUAAGCAGAGCAAUGUCGUUGUAAAGGAAUAUUCCCCUUAAAUAGCCUUGAACAACCAGUUAAUGAAAUUGCCUGGUCAUCGAAAGGAAAAAAUUGAAGAUGAAGAGCUCCAAGAUCCAGCCGAUAAUUUUAUCAUGCGGUGCGUCCAUCAGAGACUUAC